rnacentral:rRNA from 1 species
GUAGGGAAUCUUCCGCAAUGGACGCAAGUCUGACGGAGCAACGCCGCGUGUGUGAAGAAGGUUUUCGGAUCGUAAAGCACUGUUGUUAGAGAAGAACGGCUACUAGAGGAAAUGUUAGUAGAUUGACGGUAUCUAACCAGAAAGCCACGGCUAACUACGUGCCAGCAGCCGCGGUAAUACGUAGGUGGCAAGCGUUGUCCGGAUUUAUUGGGCGUAAAGGGAGCGCAGGUGGUUUCUUAAGUCUGAUGUGAAAGCCCACGGCUUAACCGUGGAGGGUCAUUGGAAACUGGGGAACUUGAGUGCAGAAGAGGAAAGCGGAAUUCCAUGUGUAGCGGUGAAAUGCGUAGAUAUAUGGAGGAACACCAGUGGCGAAAGCGGCUUUCUGGUCUGUAACUGACACUGAGGCUCGAAAGCGUGGGGAGCAAACAGGAUUAGAAACCCUAGUAGUCC